rnacentral:lncRNA from 1 species
CCGGAAAAGCUUCACCGACGACGGAGGUAAGCCUCCUCCCCUUCCUCUCUUCUCCCUCUUCCUUUUCGUGCUGAUGUGCACGCUCGUCGGUGACCGGAGUCGUUGGAUUUUAUUGCGAAAGUAACCUUCAUUUUUUUAUCAUUUUUUUUGGAUUACCGACGUCGGUGGUCACCGCCGACCACCAGUUUGGCCCUCUUCUUAUCGG